rnacentral:rRNA from 1 species
CAGCAGCCGCGGUAAUACGUAGGGUGCAAGCGUUAAUCGGAAUUACUGGGCGUAAAGCGUGCGCAGGCGGUUAUAUAAGACAGAUGUGAAAUCCCCGGGCUCAACCUGGGAACUGCAUUUGUGACUGUAUAGCUAGAGUACGGCAGAGGGGGAUGGAAUUCCGCGUGUAGCAGUGAAAUGCGUAGAUAUGCGGAGGAACACCGAUGGCGAAGGCAAUCCCCUGGGCCUGUACUGACGCUCAUGCACGAAAGCGUGGGGAGCAAACAGGAUUAGAUACCCGGGUAGUCCCUGUCUCUUAUAC